AGACCCGAAACCCGGUGAUCUAGCCAUGGGCAGGUUGAAGGUUGGGUAACACUAACUGGAGGACCGAACCGACUAAUGUUGAAAAAUUAGCGGAUGACUUGUGGCUGGGGGUGAAAGGCCAAUCAAACCGGGAGAUAGCUGGUUCUCCCCGAAAGCUAUUUAGGUAGCGCCUCGUGAAUUCAUCUCCGGGGGUAGAGCACUGUUUCGGCAAGGGGGUCAUCCCGACUUACCAACCCGAUGCAAACUGCGAAUACCGGAGAAUGUUAUCACGGGAGACACACGGCGGGUGCUAACGUCCGUCGUGAAGAGGGAAACAACCCAGACCGCCAGCUAAGGUCCCAAAGUCAUGGUUAAGUGGGAAACGAUGUGGGAAGGCCCAGACAGCCAGGAUGUUGGCUUAGAAGCAGCCAUCAUUUAAAGAAAGCGUAAUAGCUCACUGGUCGAGUCGGCCUGCGCGGAAGAUGUAACGGGGCUAAACCAUGCACCGAAGCUGC
rnacentral:rRNA from 1 species